UACGUAGGGUGCAAGCGUUAAUCGGAAUUACUGGGCGUAAAGCGUGCGCAGGCGGUUUUGUAAGUCUGUCGUGAAAUCCCCCGGGCUCAACCUGGGAAUGGCGAUGGAGACUGCAAGGCUAGAGUUUGGCAGAGGGGGGGUAGAAUUCCACGUGUAGCAGUGAAAUGCGUAGAUAUGUGGAGGAACACCGGUGGCGAAGGCGGCAUCCUGGACCGGUAUUGACGCUGAGGAGCGAAAGCCAGGGGAGCAAACGGG
rnacentral:rRNA from 1 species